UUGGUUAGGGUUAACGUCCCGUAACGAGCGCAACCCUUGUCCUUAGUUACCAGCACGUUAUGGUGGGCACUCUAAGGAGACUGCCGGUGACAAACCGGAGGAAGGUGGGGAUGACGUCAAGUCAUCAUGGCCCUUACGGCCUGGGCUACACACGUGCUACAAUGGUCGGUACAAAGGGUUGCCAAGCCGCGAGGUGGAGCUAAUCCCAUAAAACCGAUCGUAGUCCGGAUCGCAGUCUGCAACUCGACUGCGUGAAGUCGGAAUCGCUAGUAAUCGUGAAUCAGAAUGUCACGGUGAAUACGUUCCCGGGCCUU
rnacentral:rRNA from 1 species